rnacentral:rRNA from 1 species
UACGUAGGGGGCAAGCGUUGUCCGGAAUCAUUGGGCGUAAAGCGCGUGUAGGCGGUUCGAUAAGUCUGCUGUGAAAGUCCAGGGCUCAACCCUGGGAUGCCGGUGGAUACUGUCGGGUUAGAGUGCGGAAGAGGCGAGUGGAAUUCCCGGUGUAGCGGUGAAAUGCGCAGAUAUCGGGAGGAACACCAAUUGCGAAGGCAGCUCGCUGGGACGUAACUGACGCUGAGACGCGAAAGCGUGGGGAGCAAACAGG